UGGGAAAUGGAAAGAAAUUGGAAAAGAAGUUUUUUUUUGUUUUGUAAAGUGAUAUUUAUAUGAAAUUAUAUUAAGCACCUUAGACACAAACAGAAAGGAUUGGAUGGCAAGUCAUCCACUUAUUCUCUGUGUUUUUGCAUUUUUAUAUUUCUUCUAAAAACGUACAUAUUGCCUGAUUUCUGCCAGGUUAUGGGGCUGAAUAAGCAGAUAGUUCCCUAGUUUCAUGAAACUUUCAUUGGAGUGUUUGCGUUUGGGAGGAUAGGAGGAACAGGAAAUAAGAAACAGAAAUAGCCUGUGGAGUGUUCCUGAGUGUUUGGCAGAGAAUAUUUAAAUGUCAUGCCAAAAGAAAAGUGACUUAAAUUUGUCCAGGGAAGCCUACUCUGAGGAGUGAAUUUUAAACUGAGAUGUAAUUGACAGAGCAAAACCAACCAUACCAGGAUUAGAAGAGUUAACAGCAGAGUGGAGGCGCCCAGGUAGGAGUGAGCCCACAGGUUAGAGGAAGCAAGAGAAGGGAGCUCUGAGUCCUGAUCAUGCAGGAUAUUGUAAAGCCAAAGAGAGAAAUUUUGCUUAAAUUCUGGGUACAAUGGGAAGCCACCAGCAUAUUUUAAGCAAGAUUAAAUGGCAUGCUUUCUUUGGUUUUGAAGAGAUCAUUCUGGCUACUAUGGGCAGAAAGGAACCAUAGACAGAGGAAAGCAGCUCAGAGACUGGAGGUGGGCUUGUCUCAGUGACCAUGGGCAGAGGCUGACACUUUGCAGCAGGAAGUGCUGGUGAGAAAAAAAUGGAUGUAUUUUAGACUUUGAUUCCAUGUUUUAAUAAUGAGGUGUGGGAAGGCACAGUCAUUGCAACUCAAUUCAAAGAGAAGAGCAACCAGUCUGAGAGGGAAGGUGGGUGGGAAGUGGAGAGCUUAGAGAAGUGUCUGCAAGAUGAAGUAAGGAUGAAUGACAAGUCCUCUCAGCAAGCCAAAGCAGACUCAAUAGAUAAAAAUGGGCAUUUGACUGCAAAGCAUAUUUAACUUCUUGUGCUAGACCCAUAAAUAAUUUAGACUUUUUUUUUUCAGAAAUUAAAACAAAAUCAGGCAAAGCAAUUAAGAAAAUGUAGAGACUGUGCUUUUUUUCAUUCCCACUUUGAACGCAGUGCUUUGUUUGAAACUAGGAAGGAUAUGAAAGGUUGUUUUGAGAGUGCUCCAUCCCAGAGACCUGUGCAAGAUCAGCUCCAUCUCUGAAACCCAGUCCAGUGCUCUUACUAGUUAGAUCUCAUCUUUAUAUACUGAAUUCAUUAUUUUUAUCUUCCAAAAUCAGAACAUUUUCAAAAGAAAAGUUAAGUAGGAAAACAGAGCAGCGAACAGAAACAUAUGAGGGUAAGAGGCUAGGCAUGUGGCCUGGGCAAGGAUCCCCGAGCGGAAAGAUGCUGAGGAAGAUCCUAUUUGUGUUCACUUAUCUUUACUCAAAGGAGACAAAAAAAAGACCAGAUGCCCUUUUCACCCUAUCUUACAUUCAUUCCUCUUUUCCAUUGUUGAUCCUGUCAUAGGCAGAAGAUGGAAAGGGGAAGGCUUCAUAGCAAGGGCUGAUCAAAGAUAAAGUUAGAAGGUCAGAAGACAUGCAGCCUCUGUAGUGGAGAUGUGGCACCAUGAACACUGCUUGGGUAUUAGACGGUUGGCUUCCCAAGAAAGCUGUUUACUAGAUUUGUGACCAGGGGGAAUUCCUUGGAGUCUCAGUUUUCAUAUCUUCAUAAGGGGAAAUAAUAAUAAUACAGAUGCCUGGAGGAUCAUUUGCGAAUACCUGCAAAAUAUUUCCCAUGGGGCCUGUUGCCAACCCGGCUCACAACUGUUCACUCAACGUAAUGGACAUUGGGAUGUUGAAAUGCAGGUAGCUCUUUUCUUCAAAGCCCUUUCUGCCUUUCUACAGUAAAGAGAUGCUGGGAUAUGAAAGAGAUUUGAAACAACUAGUUCCCCAACUUAGACUAGAAUGCACUGAAAUAGAGAGACGGGGAGAGAGAAAGGGAGGGAGAGAGAGAGAGACAGAAGGAGACAGAAGAAAGGGCGAAGAGGAGAGGAGAGGGAAGAAGAGAACAGGGCUAGAAUGGAAUGAGCUAGUCAGGAGCUAAUUAAUGACCAAAGAGGAAGAAAAGAAAGCAAUGCAAACAAAUGAAAAUGCAGCCAAGGCAGAACAAACUGGAUAGGAAUAUACUUAGAGAAGUGUCUUGCUGUUGUGCAGGCUGCCUCAAUCUAAAAUAGCAUGGGUGGCCUUCAUUCAUGGCGAUGAUCACUGAAGUGGCUCUGAAGUGUCUUUGUACCUGAAAAAAUGGGCUUGUGUUGAUUUUUUGAACAUACAAUUAAAAUUGUUGUCUUUAUUGUAAAGGUCCAUGUUUCAUUUAAUAGUCUACCAGAAGUAUGAGGACAUCAUUUAAAAACACUUAAAUUAGAAUGAAAUAGUAAUAAAAAUAAGAAGAACAGACAUUUUAUUGAGAGUUUAGCUGAGUUGGGCACUGACUUCUUUUCCUCCAUUAUCUAAUGUUGAACUCCAGGUAGCAGGUUCUAUAUUUCUGUUCAUUUUAGAAAUGAGGAAAUGGAUGUUUAAGAAGUUGAGUAACAUCCGAAAUAUCCUCCAAUUAUUAGCUGACUUCGGGAUUCAAUCCUGGGUCGGCCUGACCCCAGACUUCAGUGUCACUAACCACUAUGUUAGGAAGAAAAUAUAGGAGAUAUGGACGAGUAAAGGUAAUCUUCUUCCACACUUGGGUAAAAUCACAAGCUUGGGAGAAUUGACACCGUAAUGUAGGAAUUCUUCCUUGGACAAGCUGAAAAUCAUUCUAUUUCAGUACAUUAAAAGGCUUCACUCUAUUAAGAUUUUGGAGAAGAAUGAGCGAAUUUGGUAGUGUAACUAACAGGCGGGGAAGGACUGUCCCUUAUGGCUUGGCAAUCAGCAGCAAGGCAGUUCACAAUGGAGAGACGCAGACGCCUUUGGGGCGGUGCAGCCAGAGGGGAGUGCACCUGGGACUGAGUGUCCGCCUGGAACUGCAUGGGCUCCGCACCGCCACCUGCCCCACGCCACUAGAGCCCAGAGCACGGAUGGGCCCAGACUGUCCUACAGCCGUUUCGGCAGGCGCGGGUCUGUCCAGCAGCACCUAAACAGCUUUUGUAUGUCCUGUCUCCAAAGUGUGUGGCUCAAAGUCAGGUUCUGUGCUUUUGAUGACAAUAUUUUCUUUGGGUCGGGGUCAUUUUCAUCUGUUGCCCCUUCUGCCCAACCUUUGCUCUUCCCCCCGGUCCUCCUCACCCCGCCCCUUCCUCUGCCUGUCUGCACACCAACCUCCUUGGGCUCCCUCAUUCUCCGGUUCUUGGCUUGGUCUGACUGGGGACUUCUCACACCUAGCUUGUCGUGGCGCUCUAGGGCCAUUGCAUCUUGGUUAAAAGGCCUGUCUCUGCAGACUGAAGGCUCUCUGCGGGCAGGACCAGGCCUGUCUGGCGUCUCCCUGCCGGCCCUCGGAGCUUGCUCCACGUAUACUGGCUGAAUGUUCUGAGAGACCCGCGGCCCAGGAUUGCUGAGUCGCUUAUGUGUCCGCUGUUCACAGCUGUGCGUGCGUGCGUGUGCAGGGAAGCAGCCAGGCAGAUGCACAUGGUUAUUUAUAUCUUCAGAUUAUUUCUGUGAGGAAAAUUCUAUCCUGGUGAAAGAGCUUGCUGUUGAAAAACAGUAACUGUACCCAUAUAGACACCACAGUAUUCGCUCAAUGUAUUUGACAGGCACACUCAUAUUGUCAGGGUAAAAGGAGGCAGCGGCCUCUUUGAAAUGCAGGGACAGAACAAGUGACAAGGAAAAAACACACAGCAGGUAUGUCCACAUUGUUGUGAAACCAUCUCCAGAACUCUUUGAUCUUGCAAAACUGAGACAGCGUACCUAUUACACAUCAACUCCUCAUUCCCAGUUCUCCCCCAGCUCCUGGUAGCCAUCAUUCUACUUUCUUUCUCUAUGAAUUGCAUUACUCUGGAUACCUCUUCCAAUUUUUAUUAUAGCCUGCUUGACGUUGUAAAGAAAUCAGAUGUUUGGCCCAGUAACCAUUCUCCUCUCUGCUUGCUUCAGCACGCUGAAAAUCAACUGGUAGCUUCAGCUCUAGCAGACGGAGCCCUGAGCUCUCCUGGCUUGCACAUGCGCUUAUACGUACACAAAAAUGCCCUGCUCCCUAGUUUCUGCCUGCACGAGUUCCUCCAUAUCCCUGCCCCAGGGCUUCCGGCUUUACUUUCUCCUCACAGCCCUUCCUGUAGACUCCUUUGCAAAAAAAAAAAUAUUAUGUUUGCCUCAUGAGCUCCCGGGGCACAGCUUUGCUGCCUCUCAGC